rnacentral:rRNA from 1 species
UACGGGGGGAGCAAGCGUUGUUCGGAUUUACUGGGCGUAAAGGGCGCGUAGGCGGUCACGACAAGUCAGUUGUGAAAUCUCCGGGCUUAACUCGGAACGGUCAACUGAUACUGUCGGACUAGAGUGCAGAAGGGGCAACUGGAAUUCUCGGUGUAGUGGUGAAAUGCGUAGAUAUCGAGAGGAACACCUGCGGCGAAGGCGGGUUGCUGGGCUGACACUGACGCUGAGGCGCGAAAGCUAGGGGAGCGAACGGG